UUGGCUUUCAUGGGGAAUAAAAAUGGAGCAGACAACUACUGAACUACCGUGUUCUCAUGGUAUUUGCGUUGUAUCAUUGUUCACCAGAACUUAGAGACAUUGCUUGAAUGGAAUAGCAGAUAUGAUUGGGUUCUGCUGGCAGCGUCCACUCACACCCUUUAAGCUUUGCUUCAUUUUCAUUUCCAUCUCACAUUAUAUAAUUUCGUAGGUUUGUAUUAUUUAGUUUAAAUUGUGGCGGCUAAAGUUUUAGAAAUGAAUUGAAGUUGCUGCAGCGGUUCGAAUAGACUGCUUCUGGUCGGAAAAUAGUGAAGGAAGCAUUAUUUGGAAACCUCGGUAAAUGAAAAUAUUUUGGGAUUAUGAAGCUCAGGAUUGUAGCUGCAGAAGCUGCUCAAAGGUCUUAUCUCCAUAGAUGGUGAGAUUCAAGAUGACGAAAUUGACAAGUUGAGUGUACUCUCAACAAGUUCCCUUGACAACACGAGUACCAGUUUUUCAAUGAGUUCCAGCUCAAAUUCACCCAAUUUCACUAAUGUGCUUCAGACCCUUCAAUUGGAGGUAUUCCCAAUCAAUAACUUGGAAUAACACCUAAUUAUUUAUGGGAAACUCAACUCAAUUCAACCUUCCUUCUAUUUAUUUAUAGUUUUUGCUCCUACACUUUCAUCCAUCUUGAUUGUUCUGUUUCAAUCUUUCUCUGUUUUAUAUGGCUUAGCUUGCUGAUGCUUGGGCUAUCUUUCUAUCCACUAUUUUCCACUGGUUGAAUGUUAUGUUGCCUUUAUAGAUUGGUGAAUGUUUGAGAUAUAUGCUAUUGCAAUUUGCAAAUCAAAAUUAAUUUGGGCUUAUCCUACCAGUCUUGAGCUGUAGACUUUACAUCAUGAAUAAUUUAUAAUCAAGUCUAGUUUAUGGAUAAUUUACUUGAAUAGUCUAAUUGGUAUUAUACAAUCCAUAAUGUUUGAUUGUCGCCUUGAUCGAUAAUAACAUAACUUGGCAUGUGGCACAAUCUUGUUACUCUAGCAUCUGCCAUUUUAGCUUUUAAACUUUAUUUCACUACAAGAGUUUUUUUAAAGGACUUAUAAAAAAAACUGAAGCCAGUGGUAGAAUCAAGAUAUAUCUACAAUUCUUCUUUCCCAUAUCCUUGCAGCCUUUUAUCUGAACUUUCCUCUUCUUCAUCUCUGGACUGAAUUGUGCCUUCCACUGAGGUAAAGAACUUUGUUUCUCAGCAUACUGACUUAAUGCUCGUGUUACCAACCCCAACGAGCAUUCCUCCUAGCUAGGCUCUUAUUAAGAGAACAUAUUUCUCAUCUGGUUUCAAUGUGUUGAGUUGUGCGAUGACAUAGCAAAAAUUGGAGCAGAGAACUGAUGUUUGUACAUGGUUUUUGACUGCUACGCAAUAGAUCAAUCAACUGGUAAUUAAAUUAUCAAAUGCCAAAAAUGGGAGGAAUGGAGAGAGUUUACCAAUGUGGAGAAUUGAGUUUAAUACAAGUUCUUUAUUUUUCAA